rnacentral:rRNA from 2 species
GUGCUUGCAUCAUGAUUUACAUUUGAGUGAGUGGCGAACUGGUGAGUAACACGUGGGAAACCUGCCCAGAAGCGGGGGAUAACACCUGGAAACAGAUGCUAAUACCGCAUAACAACUUGGACCGCAUGGUCCGAGUUUGAAAGAUGGCUUCGGCUAUCACUUUUGGAUGGUCCCGCGGCGUAUUAGCUAGAUGGUGGGGUAACGGCUCACCAUGGCAAUGAUACGUAGCCGACCUGAGAGGGUAAUCGGCCACAUUGGGACUGAGACACGGCCCAAACUCCUACGGGAGGCAGCAGUAGGGAAUCUUCCACAAUGGACGAAAGUCUGAUGGAGCAACGCCGCGUGAGUGAAGAAGGGUUUCGGCUCGUAAAACUCUGUUGUUAAAGAAGAACAUAUCUGAGAGUAACUGUUCAGGUAUUGACGGUAUUUAACCAGAAAGCCACGGCUAACUACGUGCCAGCAGCCGCGGUAAUACGUAGGUGGCAAGCGUUGUCCGGAUUUAUUGGGCGUAAAGCGAGCGCAGGCGGUUUUUUAAGUCUGAUGUGAAAGCCUUCGGCUCAACCGAAGAAGUGCAUCGGAAACUGGGAAACUUGAGUGCAGAAGAGGACAGUGGAACUCCAUGUGUAGCGGUGAAAUGCGUAGAUAUAUGGAAGAACACCAGUGGCGAAGGCGGCUGUCUGGUCUGUAACUGACGCUGAGGCUCGAAAGUAUGGGUAGCAAACAGGAUUAGAUACCCUGGUAGUCCAUACCGUAAACGAUGAAUGCUAAGUGUUGGAGGGUUUCCGCCCUUCAGUGCUGCAGCUAACGCAUUAAGCAUUCCGCCUGGGGAGUACGGCCGCAAGGCUGAAACUCAAAGGAAUUGACGGGGGCCCGCACAAGCGGUGGAGCAUGUGGUUUAAUUCGAAGCUACGCGAAGAACCUUACCAGGUCUUGACAUACUAUGCAAAUCUAAGAGAUUAGACGUUCCCUUCGGGGACAUGGAUACAGGUGGUGCAUGGUUGUCGUCAGCUCGUGUCGUGAGAUGUUGGGUUAAGUCCCGCAACGAGCGCAACCCUUAUUAUCAGUUGCCAGCAUUAAGUUGGGCACUCUGGUGAGACUGCCGGUGACAAACCGGAGGAAGGUGGGGAUGACGUCAAAUCAUCAUGCCCCUUAUGACCUGGGCUACACACGUGCUACAAUGGAUGGUACAACGAGUUGCGAACUCGCGAGAGUAAGCUAAUCUCUUAAAGCCAUUCUCAGUUCGGAUUGUAGGCUGCAACUCGCCUACAUGAAGUCGGAAUCGCUAGUAAUCGCGGAUCAGCAUGCCGCGGUGAAUACGUUCCCGGGCCUUGUACACACCGCCCGUCACACCAUGAGAGUUUGUAACACCCAAA